rnacentral:rRNA from 1 species
UACAGAGGUCCCAAGCGUUGUUCGGAUUCACUGGGCGUAAAGGGUGCGUAGGCGGUUUUAUAAGUCUGAUGUGAAAUCCCGCAGCUUAACUGCGGAACUGCAUUGGAAACUAUUUGACUAGAGGAGUGGAGGGGAGGCUGGAAUACUUGGUGUAGCAGUGAAAUGCGUAGAUAUGAAGUGGAACACCAGUGGCGAAGGCGAGUCUCUGGACAAUUCCUGACGCUGAGGCACGAAAGCGAGGGGAGCAAACGGG